GGCUGCGGCGUGCUUACACAUGCAGUCGAACGAUGAAGCCCAGCUUGCUGGGUGGAUUAGUGGCGAACGGGUGAGUAACACGUGAGUAACCUGCCCUUGACUCUGGGAUAAGCACUGGAAACGGUGUCUAAUACCGGAUAUUUCAACUGACCGCAUGGUCUGGUUGUGGAAAGAAUUUUGGUCAAGGAUGGACUCGCGGCCUAUCAGGUAGUUGGUGAGGUAAUGGCUCACCAAGCCUACGACGGGUAGCCGGCCUGAGAGGGUGACCGGCCACACUGGGACUGAGACACGGCCCAGACUCCUACGGGAGGCAGCAGUGGGGAAUAUUGCACAAUGGGCGAAAGCCUGAUGCAGCAACGCCGCGUGAGGGACGACGGCCUUCGGGUUGUAAACCUCUUUUAGUAGGGAAGAAGCGAAAGUGACGGUACCUGCAGAAAAAGCACCGGCUAACUACGUGCCAGCAGCCGCGGUAAUACGUAGGGUGCAAGCGUUGUCCGGAAUUAUUGGGCGUAAAGAGCUCGUAGGCGGUUUGUCGCGUCUGCUGUGAAAACUGGAGGCUCAACCUCCAGCCUGCAGUGGGUACGGGCAGACUAGAGUGCGGUAGGGGAGAUUGGAAUUCCUGGUGUAGCGGUGGAAUGCGCAGAUAUCAGGAGGAACACCGAUGGCGAAGGCAGAUCUCUGGGCCGUAACUGACGCUGAGGAGCGAAAGCAUGGGGAGCGAACAGGAUUAGAUACCCUGGUAGUCCAUGCCGUAAACGUUGGGAACUAGAUGUGGGGGCCAUUCCACGGUCUCCGUGUCGCAGCUAACGCAUUAAGUUCCCCGCCUGGGGAGUACGGCCGCAAGGCUAAAACUCAAAGGAAUUGACGGGGGCCCGCACAAGCGGCGGAGCAUGCGGAUUAAUUCGAUGCAACGCGAAGAACCUUACCAAGGCUUGACAUAUACGAGAACGGGCCAGAAAUGGUCAACUCUUUGGGACACUCGUAAACAGGUGGUGCAUGCUGUCGUCAGCUCGUGUCGUGAGAUGUUGGGCUAGUCCCGCACGAGCGCAUCCCUCGUUCUAUGUUGCAGCACGUUAUGGUGGUACCUCAUAGGAGACUGCCGGGUCACUCG
rnacentral:rRNA from 1 species